rnacentral:rRNA from 1 species
GGUAACGGCCUACCAAGGCAACGAUCAUUAGGGGUUCUGAGAGGAAGGUCCCCCACACUGGUACUGAGACACGGACCAGACUCCUACGGGAGGCAGCAGUGAGGAAUAUUGGUCAAUGGGCGAGAGCCUGAACCAGCCAAGUCGCGUGAAGGAAGAAGGUUCUAUGGAUUGUAAACUUCUUUUGCAGGGGAAUAAAGUGAGGUACGUGUACCUUAUUGUAUGUACCUUGCGAAUAAGGAUCGGCUAACUCCGUGCCAGCAGCCGCGGUAAUACGGAGGAUCCGAGCGUUAUCCGGAUUUAUUGGGUUUAAAGGGUGCGUAGGCGGGAAAUUAAGUCAGUGGUGAAAGUUUGCAGCUCAACUGUAAAAUUGCCAUUGAAACUGAUUUUCUUGAGUGUAAAUAAGGUAGGCGGAAUGUGUUGUGUAGCGGUGAAAUGCAUAGAUAUCACACAGAAUAUCGAUUGCGAAGGCAACUCACAAAGCCAUUAUUGACGCUGAUGCACGAAAGUGUGGGGAUCAAACAGGAUUAGAUACCCUGGUAGUCCACACUGUAAACGAUGAUAACUAGCUGUCGGCGAUACACAGUCGGUGGCCAAGCGAAAGCGAUAAGUUAUCCACCUGGGGAGUACGACCGCAAGGUUGAAACUCAAAGGAAUUGACGGGGGCCCGCACAAGCGGAGGAACAUGUGGUUUAAUUCGAUGAUACGCGAGGAACCUUACCCGGGCUCGAACGGUGCAGGAAUAUGGUAGAGAUAUCAUAGCUAGCAAUAGUCUGUAUCGAGGUGCUGCAUGGUUGUCGUCAGCUCGUGCCGUGAGGUGUCGGCUUAAGUCCCGCAACGAGCGCAACCCUUACCUUUAGUUGCCAGCAUGUAAUGAUGGGGACUCUAAAGGAACUGCCUACGCAAGUAGUGAGGAAGGUGGGGAUGACGUCAAAUCAGCACGGCCCUUAUGUCCAGGGCGACACACGUGCUACAAUGGCCGAUACAGAGGGGCGCUAUCCAGCGAUGGAGUGCGAAUCUCAAAAACCUAUCUCAGUUCGGAUCGGAGUCUGCAACUCGACUCCGUGAAGUUGGAUUCGCUAGUAAUCGCGCAUCAGCCAUGGCGCGGUGAAUACGUUCCCGGGCCUUGUACACACCGCCCGUCAAGCCAUGGAAGCUGGGGGUGCCUGAAGUUCGUGACCGCAAGGAGCG